rnacentral:rRNA from 1 species
CCUACGGGAGGCAGCAGUAGGGAAUAUUGCUCAAUGGGGGAAACCCUGAAGCAGCAACGCCGCGUGGAGGAUGAAGGUUUUCGGAUUGUAAACUCCUUUUGUUAGAGAAGAUAAUGACGGUAUCUAACGAAUAAGCACCGGCUAACUCCGUGCCAGCAGCCGCGGUAAUACGGAGGGUGCAAGCGUUACUCGGAAUCACUGGGCGUAAAGAGCGCGUAGGCGGGAUAGCAAGUCAGAUGUGAAAUCCUAGGGCUUAACCAUAGAACUGCAUUUGAAACUGUUAUUCUAGAGUAUGGGAGAGGUAGGUGGAAUUCUUGGUGUAGGGGUAAAAUCCGUAGAGAUCAAGAGGAAUACUCAUGGCGAAGGCGACCUGCUAGAACAUAACUGACGCUGAUGCGCGAAGGCGUGGGGAGCAAACAGGAUUAGAUACCCGUGUAGUC